UCAGCUGCCCUGGUCUGACAAGAGUCCCUAAAAUAGCUCUCAUCCAACGGGCAGAUUUAGCCUUCCCAAACCAUGCCCCAUCCCGGCAUCUGUGACAUACGGUCACAGAACAUAUGGGCUUAGUGUUCCAUCUGGAAGGGUAUCGUUAGAGGUAGUCGAAGCUACGAAAGUCGCGGCAAAGACGGAGGCUGUGCUGGGAGAUGAGGCAGCAUUCUCUUGCAGCUCCCUACGCUUCGUGGGUGAAUGGUGGCUUCACGUCUGGCCUCAGAAGACUCUGCCCUUUACCAGAGGCUGGGUUUGUCCCUGAGCGCCCGCUACGCUGAGGAAAACUUGGGCCAAGGCUUCAAGUAGGACUUAACUCUUGGUCCCCAUACAGCUGUGUAUUCAUUCUUUAGGGUCCUCAAGAGACUCCUCCUGGGGUCCAGAACAGCCUCCAGGAUGGAUGUACUCAACCUUCUGUCCUCACAAACCAUUAGAUCCAGCCCCUCCCCAAGACUGGGAAAGCCCACGGAGCGUCUUCAUAUUAUUAGUUCUUUUCUAUUUAAUUGCAGUAUUGCUUUUUUGCAUAUUUACAUAAACAUAUUCUUAUAUCUUUA